rnacentral:lncRNA from 1 species
GAGAGAAGAGAUUUGCAGCAGAUAAUGAGAAAUGUAUAUUGAUCUGGAAGGUUGCCAAAGAGAAAAUCAUUAUUGUCAAAUGACCAGGAUAAAUGUUUCUUGGUAUACCACUAGGAACAUGAUAAAAAAGAUACAAAGAUAAAUGUUCACAAGUAAAUCUUGGAAGCCCUUGGUAAGUGUCUUGGCAAGUCACUUAAUCAUAACAGACCUAAAAAAUAUCAUUUCAUUUUACUGGUCACAAACCCAUAGCAAGUUGAGAGGCCAAAAUGCCACACCUCAAUAUCGUAGCUCAGUGAAUCACACUUGCUUACGAUAUAUAUACUGCCCAAUAUGUAAUAGAAAGAGACCUCCCCAACAAGUGAAAAAAAGUAAUCAGACAUCAAGAAAAUUGAUUGCGAGUAAGUAUUUGGGGUCUGGAGAUUACAAAAAGGAGCUUACACAGUCAUUCAAACAUUACUUACACUCAUGAUAGCAACAGACUGGCUGUAUAUUUCAUGGCUAGAAACAGUAGCUAGUUUCAAGUACGAAUUGGUACAAAUGACCGUGAUAUCAUGGACCAAAAGGUUUAAAUUAAAAAAAUCUUAAAGGUAGUUAUGAGAAUUAGAACAAGUCGUGUAGGUGCAACUAAAGACAAAGGACUUGAUAAAUAGACAAAUAAAAAGAGAUGGCCAAAAAGGUUCUUUCUGGAAAGAUUACUGUAACAUUUUACAAUUAGCUGCAAUUUCAAAUUGGAAUGGUGAACUCCCUGCUACAUCUGCCUAUAAGCUGACUUUGACAUGAAUACUGAGCAAGUGAAAGAGAAACUGGACUUGGUUAUGAAAAUAACAGGACCUAACGAUAAAGAGAUCAUAGCGAUGGCAAUUACUGCUAAAGCCAACCUAAAUCCCAACUUUACAAAAUAAAGAAAACCAAAGAAUUCAAUUCGCCAAGGAUUCGAGCAAGGAUAUUGAGACUGAAGUACAUAUCCUUUCAGAAUGCCCAAAAGCCUAAUGGUCGGACAAAUUUGUUAGCUCAGGAAGCUGCAAAUGAAUAAGAUAUGCUCAAUUUACAAGAAUGGGUAAGUGUGAAUAUGAAGGAAAAGCUAGAGAUUAGGUCGGUGCUAUCUGUUUCCUUUCUUUUAAUUCUGGUAGCAAUUAACUGGGAAUGCUUUUGAAUACUCAUUUGCUUGGAUAGUUGGACCAUCAAACGUCAAAGCAGUAAUCCAUUCAUUAUAUUUCUCCUAACCAUUAAAGCGUACACACAAAUAUGAUGAACUAGUAAAAUUCGUAUCAACAAACUAGAUUGCUCAACUAAUACCGGUAACUAGUGUUCAAAUUCAUAUGUCUAAAUAAUUCUGGCAAAAGGAAUUACCCUUGCUCGCACUGAUGAGGAAGAACCCAUCUGGAGUAAUUGGGCUGUAAAACAAAUCCACAACUGGACGAGAAUGACCAUGGCAAACAAGGGGAACAUCACCCUUUUCUUAUCCAUUACUUAACCGAUCCAGCGAAAAAGAAAAAAAAAUGAAAGAAAAUUAUAACUUUUGGGAGCAGCAAUCAUAAAAGUACAUUUGGAAGUAGCAGACACAUGGGAUGAGAAAAAGUAAACUGCAAGUUUUCAUUUAAAACAACCGUUUAUAUCCAACUCCACAAAAGGAUGAAAAGCAACAAUCUUUCUUACUUUUACCAAAAAACCAAAUCAAGACUCAAGCGUUCACCUCUUAAAAAUAACUCAGAUUUCAGAUUUUAUGAAAAGCCAAAAUGGAUCAUCUCGUUCAUUAUUCUUAGCUAUAAGAAAGAGCACUUCCAAAGAGACCUGACGAAUUUGACCAAAUUUUGCUAGAACCCAAAUCAAGAUUCACAGCAUUCUAGCCAAAAAUCACUAACAGAGAAUCAAUUCAUGAAAAUCCAACAAAUUUAUAAGAACAGAACAGAAGGGAUUCAAAACUUGUUGAUGCUUAAAUCAGAGACUAACAAGAUUGAACCUAAAAACUAAAUCUGACGAAACAGAGAAAGUGCAACUAGCCGUACCCACAAAAAAUAUAUACCAUGCAUUGCAAAAUCAGACACAUAAUAUUGAAAUUACCUCAAACUAUACCUUCAAUCCCUAACUUCUCAUUUUUCCCAAGCUUCAAGCUCUAAACUCCAGCUUUCACCCAAAUUUUCAAGCCCUAAUUUUUUAUUUCUUGCCACCAAGCCAGUGUAACAGCUGAAUUAGGUAUGUUGGUGGUGCGAACUUGAUAAAGUUGCCUAAAUUGAUGACAAUGGCAAACUUCAGUUCAUGAUGGAUUUGGUAGUGCGAGCUUGAAAGAGAGGAGUUCAUCUUCGGGGAAGUGAGAAGGACAGAGAGAAAGGGAAAAAGUGUCUGAAAUUUUGGCUAAGUGUUUUGGACAUAGAGUGCAUACUAGUGAAGCAAACGAUGUCGUUUCCUCAAAAUUCCUUUGUCCGCCAUGCCUCUUGAAUUUUUUAGUUUGCCGCUCUUUGUUUUGUACGUAUAAAUAACACACAUUCUUCCUAUAUAGAUGCAAGAAAAUCACACUUUGUUUGUCCUUACUCCUACCUCUCUCUUUUUUCUUUUUCUCAUCUUUAUGUAAUUAAGCUUUUUUAUUUUUUUGAAUUUUAUUUUUUUUACUCUCAAGUUGUAUUAAAAUAAUAGAAUAUGACAAUUUAGUGUGUUUGGGCAAAAUUUUUUAACAUUUUUAACUAAUAUAGGACUUUUCUAAUUUAUUAUACAAUAAAAUAAUUUACAAACUAAAAAUGUUGUUAGAAAUAUGUUUAUGAUUUGAAAAAAAUAAACAUUCUUUUAUCAAAAUCUUUUUGGUACUCAUUUUAUGGUGUUAUCAAUUAUGUAUGACUUGCAGUCUAACAAACCAGAGAACCAAAUUAGUUGAUCGAACAAUCAAAAUAGUUUAUAUUCAGUUUUAUUGUUAAAUUCUACCAUUGACUACCUCUAUUUUUAGAUUGUCAUAAUUAUUUAUUUUCCACCAUGUUGCCAUCAAGAUAAAUAGGAAAUGUAUGAUUUUUUUUUAUAUUUAUAACAAAUUAUUAUUAAAUUGUUACAUUACUGCAAGUGAUAAAUGUACUUUUGCUCUUUUUCAAACAUUUAUUUUAAUGUUUAAUUUUAUUUAAAACUAUUGUACUAGUAUAGAUUUGCAAGACAAAACUUAAGUUCUCAAUAGUUAAAAAAUUCAUUACAGAGAAAACACAAAGUAGUAGUUGCAAAAUGUGUAUAAAUUACAGAUAUUUUAAUGUGUAUAAAUUACAGUUUAUUUUAAUGUUUAAUUUUGUUUGAAACUAUUUUACUAGUAUAGAUUUGCAAGACAUAGAUUUAUGGGUAAUUUCUUUUUUUUUUGCUUUCACAUAUUUAAUUUAUGUUAAAUACAAAACUUACCAGUUUUCCUUUUAUAAAAAUAUUAGUGCAACACUUUUUGAAUUUUACUUACAAACAUUUAUGUAUUUAACAUAAAUUAAAUGAUUCAGAGUGAAAUGCCCAUAAAGAGCAGAAUAUUUGUUCAUGUAAUGGAGAAAACUCACAAAGAGUUGGUACUUUAUGAACCAUUUCUUUUUUUAAAAAAAUUUAAUUUAUGUUGAAAAGAUAACCUGCCAGUUUUCGUUUUGUAAGAAAUCAGUGCAACACUUUUUGAAUUUUACUUACAAACAUUUAUAAAUUUAUCAUAAAUUAUAUGUUUGAGAGUAAAAUGCCCAUCAAAAGUAGGUACUUUGAAUAGAUAAUGCUCAUUUGCCCAUAGACUACACUCCCUGAAGACUAUUUUGUUAAUUACUUUGUAAUACUUUGUUAUUCCUUUGCUAAUACUACUUGGCAUGUAGUACAAAGGAUAAAUCUGGCAUAAAUUUCUUAUUCCAUUGAUAAAAAGACCUACCUGCCUUAUAACUAUUGUAAUGAAAGAUAUAUUUGUAGAGUUUAUAACAAAUUAUUACUUAAGUUUGAGAAAAUUAUAAAAUAUUUAUGCAUAGUUUAUCAAGAUACCAUUCGCAAUUUCCUAAUAAAAAAAUAUGGGCUAAAUUGUAAAAGCUAGGGUGCCAUAAUAGAAAUAAUAAAAUUGGUGUAUUACAUAUGGGGGUUAAAUUGCAAAAGUUAGAGUGCCAUAGUAGAAUUAAUGAAAUUGGUGAAUUACAUAUGGGGCUAAAUUACAAAAGUUAGGGAGUAAUAAUAGAAUUAAAGAAAUCAGUGUACUACAUAUGAGGCUAAAUUGUAAAAGUUAAGGUAUCAUAAUGGAAUUAAUGAAAUUUUUUACAACAUUUGGGGCUAAAUCGCAAAAGUUAGGGUGGCACAGUAGAAUUAAUGAAAGUGACUUAGAAAUAAGUACUUUAAACAGUGACGAUUAAUUCUUGUCACUAAAUCCGAAUCGGUAGAGUGACAGUGACGAUAUUAGAAGUUGUCACUAUAUAGAUUAUUUUAGUGACAACGUUUUUCAAGGUCUCCUUGUCGUCACUAAACAAUCACGUUUUGUGACGACUUUUGUCGUCACUAGAAAAUGUUGUCACUAAUGACCAUAUUUCUUGCAGUGUAGUUUGUGACGAAAAUAACGGGUCGUCACUAAACAUUUAGUUGCUUUGAUGCAAUUGUGACAACUUUAGGUGUCGCGACUAAAGAAGCUCCUUUUGUGACGACUUAUUGUCAUCACUACAAAAUAUUGUCACUAAUAACUUUUUUUUUAGUGAUCAGUGACGGCAACAAAAAGUCGUCUGUAAAUAGGCCAAGCAAUAGUGAUGAUGUUCUUAAUGUCGUCACUAUUGUGUGUUUUAAACACUCCCGGGUCGUCACAAAUGAGUUGGCACCCAUUAGAGGUUUGUGACGAGUUAGAAAGUCGUCAAUAAAGGAUUUACUUUUGUGACAACUUUUUUUCGUCACAGAGAAAAGUUGUCACUGACGACCAAUUUUCUUGUAGUGAAGAGAGUAAAAGAAAUCUAUCUUAGUUACUAAAUAUGAGUUGUUUACGAUGGAAUCUUAUGAAAAUAUUGAUCAAAGAUAUUGUAAAUUCAAUGAUCUCAUUAAGAAUUUAGAAGUGUUGGAAAAAGAAUACUCUCUAGGUGAGAAAAACAGAAAAAUUAUAAAUGCCUUGUCCAAAAAUUGGGAAAGUAAAGUGACUGCUAUUGAAGGUGUUAAAGAUUUGAAUGUUAUGCCUAUUGAAUCACUUAUCAAUUCUCUUACCUCUUUUGAGCUGAAACUUAAGACUAAGGUGCAAGAGGAAGAGGAUACAAAAGUGCGAAAGAAUAUUACUUUAAAAGUCUCACAAGAUGAAGAUGAUACAGCCUCCUUAGAUGGAGAUGACAUAGAAGGUGAUGACAGUGAUAUUGCACUCAUCACAAGAAGUUUCAAACGAAUACUCAAUAAGAGGAGAUUCAGAAAAGGUGGACCUAGCAAUUCAUUCCCAAAUCAGUUCAACAACUCGAGAAACAAAGGGAAGUUAGAGUUCAACAAAAGGCAAACUGAUAAGUCCUUUGAAUGCGGCCAACCUGGACAUUAUGCAAGUGAGUGUCCAAUGAUGAAGAAGAAAGAAGGAAGAAAAUCAAGACUCAACAAUUUUCAAUUCACAUGGAAUGAGUACAAUUCUGAUGGUGAAAUUGAAGAGGAAGAAGAGUCUGCUCAAUUGGCUUUUAUGGCCAUUGGAGAUGAUGAGAUAACAUCUUCUAACUCUCAAUUUGAAAGUGAUGAUGAAACUGAUGAUGAUCUUGAAUCUUUCAUUAUAAAAUUGCAUGAUAGUUUGAAAAAAUCUUAUGCUAGAAACAAGGAAUUAAAACAUAAAAUUAGCUUUCUUCUUCAGGACAAUGCACGUCUUUUUCAAGAAAACAAAAAACUGAAAACUGAAAGUGAUUUCUUAAAAAAGAGUGAGAUUGUUUUACACUUUGAGUUUGAUAGAAAAACAAGACUUUGUGAAAUGUUCAAAAAGGAACAAAGUGAUUUGAAAAGAAGAAUGGAUAAUUUAAAUGAGUUGCUCCAAUAUAAAAAAUAAGACUGUUUUCAAAGUAAUAAAUCAAAACCUCAUUUUGGCACUCAUCAGAUAAGACUGAAUCAAAAUGCAAAUGAGUUUGCUAUCCAUAGGAAAAGGCAAGUCAGAUUUAUUAAACCCAUUCAUGUGAAUAACUCGUUGGUUAUGUGUAAUUUUUGUUGUCAAAAAAGUCACAUGAAAAGUGAUUGUUAUGUGAGAAAAAACAUGAGAAGAUGCAUGAAAUGCAUGUGGAUAGUUAAAUAUGAUGCUAAGUUUAACAAAUAGGAGAUAUGAUAAAAUUGAUGAGAUUCUUGUUCAAUGCUUUUUAUAAUUUUCUUUUGAUGUUUCUGAUAUUUUGAACUGAGUUUUUCCUUGAUAUUUUUGAAUAUUAAUGAAGUUUUAUGAUGACAAAAAGGGGGAGAAAUGGAUGCUAUGUGAAAGGGGGAGUUGUUCUGAGUUUAUAAAAUUUUUUGUUGCAUUCAGUGAGGGGGAGUUUAUACUCAUAUGCAAAAUUUUUUCUUUCUUCCAUCCAUUGUUUUGUCAUCAUCAAAAAGGGGGAGAAUGUUGACCUUGGUCCAUAGCUUUUGAUGUUUACAAAACAAUGGAUAAUUCUAAUAUCUCUUCAAGAAAUAUUUUCAGUUAUGAAACAAAUCAGAUUCAAAAAUCAAGUGCUAUUGAAAGGGACAAAGACUGUUGAAAGCUGUCGGAGGUUUGGAUCGGACGUCUGAAGGAAAUAAGACAUUCCUCUUGGAUCACUGACCUCGAUCGGACGCAAGCAUCGGACAUCCGAUAGGAUCCUUCAAAAUCGACGAAACCAUCAGACGCUGAAUAUGUUUUCACCGGACGUCCGAUAGAAACAAGAUGAUUUCUCAAAUCUCUUUGUUUGCUGUCGGAUGCACAAAGAGCUUGCACCGGACGUCUGAUAGAAUUGAAAAAAAUUUCUCAAACUCACUGCCUGCUGUCGGACGCAGAAAACAGGAGUACCGAACGUCCGACAUUCCAACGGCUAGUUGACUCUUCAGCUACUUUCUAUCCGUUGGAAGCAUUAAUGAGGCUCUUUCUUGAUCCUGUAUAAAUAAUGGUUGGUCAGAUAGUUAAAACAACUUUUGCACACUGAAGAUACAAAAGAUCUAGAGUGAUUUUAGUGAGAAAAUACUCUCCAAAGAAGAUUUGUAGUCUUAGCGGUGUGAGGUUCAUUGUAAGUUUUUCAUUUGUGAGUGAAUACUUCAUGAGUGUAGUUCUGCGAGAGUUGUUCUAAGGGAUAGUAAAACAUCCUAACUUGACCGAGUGAAGUUCGGGGCAAGGAGGAGGUGAACUUUCCUUUGUACGCAAGAGCGAUUGUAAUUCAUCAAUUUGAAGAAACUUAUUUGAAUUAAUCUACAAGCUCAAGAGGAGUUGGGUAGUUAAUUGGUUUGCAAUUCUUUCCUUUUUAUUUACUUAUUGUUACGUUUAUGAUCUUUACAUUGUUUAUUUCUUCCACUUGGUUGUCUUCAAUUCUUACAUACCUCCUCAAGUAAAUGAUAGACUGAGCAGUCAUUUUGAAAUUUUACAAAUUUUGGGUUCACCUAGUAAAAAAAACACAGCCAAAAGGGAGUUAACGAAACCAGCACAUAUAAGGAGUAAAAACACAGCCAUGGCAGAUAUAAAAACUCAAUUAUUGAAUAGUUAUACUUGCUCCAUCUCGGCCCACUUGUUAUCGUCCAUAAGCCAGAUAAACUUCUGGCUAUCCCAACCCAUUCCUGUUCCUCACCUCUUGAAGGCAAUGUAUAGUUUGGUCAGCUCUCGUAAAACAUAGUAUUUGGCUCUUAUACUAUCAAAGGUGAAAGAGGUACUGUAUUGGCCGUUCAACCGCUGUUGGAUUUCAGGAACCACAUAGCUAUAAAUGUUAUUGUCCCUAAUUUCACUAGCUCUAUGCAUGUUCACAAGGUGGUGGGCAAAAUCAAUUUCAUGCUACUUAGAGAAAUGCAAACGCUCCCCACCUCAUUGCCUUUGUUUUCUCAUCUUAAUUAACCCAUAAACAAAUCCAGAAACAAACAAAGAAAUAAAGUGACAGGCAUGAUUAUUCAAGAUACAGAGAUGACAUAACAAUAACCAAACUGGAGGAGGAGCAAGAAUUACCUUGUAGUAGUUAGAAAUGCACUGCCUUAAAUCGUUUUCCUCCCAAGCUGAGUUGGAUGAACGAGUAUACAAGAUGCUUUUCUGCUUCAAUGUUGUGUUGACAUAGGAAUAAAAUUAUUGACCAACGAACAAGGCAGUGAACAAAGGGGAACCAAGCAAAUAUACCUUUGGCAGCACGGCGGGUAAUAGGGGGCAUGUAGCCUUAGAGAGCAGCAACUAUACAAGUCAGACUACCCUGUUUUUUAGCACCAAACAGUAGUAUGAAGUUAGACAGCAGACAUCAAGUGUUUUCGAGGCCAAAGAAAAAAAUUUAUAAGCUUUAAAUAGCAUCAGGCAGUUCAUUGCAACAAAAAAAAACACAGAAUUAGGCAAGAAUAAUAUGACAACAUGAGUUCAAUCCGCAAUUAAAUAAGGCAAGACAUAGAGAGGACAGUGCACAAUAUGGAAAAGCACCAGGCAAAAGCUGCUCUACACUAAUUUCUAUCCAGAUCAACAAUAUGACAGGUAAAAACUUAUUCCACCACAGACUGCAUUUUCUCAUAUCAGCUUUCACAUGAAAAGCUUCACAGUAAGCACACUUGAAAGUGGACGGUGUCCAGGAAGUUAGUGUGCUAAGGAGGGGAGGAUAUGCAGCAAGUUACUUCCUCUGACAUUCCCAACUACAUAAAAACUUUCACUUUAAUAUUCCCAAAAGCUCCACUCUAAGUCAAGGCAGCAACAUAGGCUACACUUGUUUAUUUUGGCUUAUAGAAUUUAAGCUUUCUUGAAGCAACCAGCAUGGUUUAGAUGUGCACAUAUAAUUUCACCAACAGCAUCCCCCAAGAGAAAAAUGGUAGACAAGCAUUUAGCUACUUCAAGUUAGACUACAAACCAUACUCCAAAAACCAAAAAUUAACAUACUAAAGUAAGAACUACUCAUCCAAAACCCAUUUUACACAUUUUUUCAAUAGGUUUUCAAAAUUGUCCAAACGCUCAUAACUAAAAUAAAACAAUGAAGCAAGCAGCAAUAAGGUUUCUGGUGGCAUUUGAAAUCACUGGAAUAACCAAAACCUCAAAUUCACAAUAGCUUUUGGGAAGCAACUUCACUGUCUUUUCAAGAGCCAAGGUUGUGAAUAUAUGCCUUCGAUGCACGGCAACAGAUUAAUGCUUUCUACUAAACUCUAUCCAAUAAUUAACAUAUCAAACUAUCUCACAAUUUGUUGUAAUAUUUUCCUAGAUCUUCUUACCAAACAAAACUUAAGUAUAAAAAAUUAUUUCAGCACUCAAAAUAAUUGGUUCUUUUUUACUUACAUAACAAAAAUAAUGUGUCCCUCUUAUUUUUGCAGUAUAAGCAAACACUUAAAUGGUUACAAUUAUUUUUUUCCCUUUUAUCCAACCAAAUAAAUCCAGGAAAAUAUGUUCGCAUUCAUUAAAUCCUCUGACAAAAAUAGUUCUGACAUGCAGCCAUAAAAAGGUUUUCAAAAUAUAAAGGAAGCAAUUUUCUACCAAAGCAUUCCAAAAUUCUCUGGAAACAGCAAAAAUCUCCACAAAUGAAGUCCAUUCUUGGAUGAAAUCGAACCUUGUCUAGAAAUCAGAUCGCAAGUGUAUCACAUAUAUUUGUGAUUUGGCCACAUCAAUUAGACAUUUUUAACCAAAAAGACUGCAAAACACAAAAAACCCACUCAUUAUUCUAGACUUGGAUCAACUAAGAAGCAUUUCAAAGCAGGGAAAAAAAACAUUCCUUUUUCGACCUGCAGAACGAAGAGGGAGUCGGAGUUCCUUGAUGCCAGACGAAGUCUCGCAACGAGUCUCUGCUUGGAUUGUCUGAAAACGUGAGAGGAGCGGCGGAAAAGCAAACUCAAUCGGUGUGGAUGCUUUAGAGGAGCAUUUCCAGAAGCAGAGAUUUAGUUCGACUUUGGUUUGCAGCAGCAUUCACACUGAAUUGCAUUUGAGAAAGUGGUUUAGGGUUGAG